UGGGGAAUAUUGGACAAUGGGCGAAAGCCUGAUCCAGCCAUGCCGCGUGUGUGAAGAAGGUCUUCGGAUUGUAAAGCACUUUAAGUUGGGAGGAAGGGCAGUAAGCGAAUACCUUGCUGUUUUGACGUUACCGACAGAAUAAGCACCGGCUAACUCUGUGCCAGCAGCCGCGGUAAUACAGAGGGUGCAAGCGUUAAUCGGAAUUACUGGGCGUAAAGCGCGCGUAGGUGGUUCGUUAAGUUGAAUGUGAAAGCCCCGGGCUCAACCUGGGAACUGCAUGCAAAACUGGCGAGCUGGAGUAGGGGAGAGAGUGGUGGAAUUUCCUGUGUGGCGGUGACAUGCGUGGAUAUAGGAAGGAACACCAGUGGCGAAGGCGACCACCUGGGCUCAUACUGACACUGAGUUGCGAAAGCGUGGGGAGCAAACAGG
rnacentral:rRNA from 1 species